rnacentral:lncRNA from 1 species
AUGAAGUCAAAAUCUCCUUCCCAGCCUCCAGCUGUCAGAAAGUCAAGUGGACAAUAAAUGCAAAUUUUGCACUCUCUAUGAGGAGUACAGGGCCACAGAAGUAGCUGCUGAUGCUUUGUGUGAAGUGUAUGGUUUAAAUGUUUUCAGUCUGUGGUGAGAAGGACAAACAAAGAAGCAAGUCUUCAUGACUCACAGCAGAGAGUGCCUGUUGAUGAAAAAAAGAAUUCCUGCUAUAGUUCAAGGAAAAAUCAAGAGAGAAAGUACAAGUCUGUUCGCAGAUAUAUUGUAGAUCUGAUAUGAGUGUUCUCAACUUUGCUAUUGGAAAGAAAGAAAGGAAGAAAGAUAGAAGGAAAGACAGACAAGAAUAUUCAUAGAUUGAAUGUUACUACUAUGCCUCAGUGGUUGGGGUCCAAAAGGCCUAGCAGAAUCCAAAACCUUUAAUGAAGAGAUGACUGCCAAUAUGUUGUCAGAAGGACCUUAAACAAAAGAAUGUACCUUGUUAUUCUAAGCAUCCUACAAACAAAUGAUGACCUAUUGUUCUGAUGAACAAUAAGAAAAUAAGGAGGAAUUUGUUGAA